rnacentral:rRNA from 1 species
UACGUAGGGUGCAAGCGUUAUCCGGAAUUAUUGGGCGUAGAGAGCUCGUAGGCGGUUUGUCGCGUCUGCUGUGAAAACUGGAGGCUCAACCUCCAGCCUGCAGUGGGUACGGGCAGACUAGAGUGCGGUAGGGGAGAUUGGAAUUCCUGGUGUAGCGGUGGAAUGCGCAGAUAUCAGGAGGAACACCGAUGGCGAAGGCAGAUCUCUGGCUCGAUACUGACGCUGAGGUGCGAAAGCGUGGGGAGCAAACAGG